rnacentral:rRNA from 1 species
CCUACGGGGGGCAGCAGUGAGGAAUAUUGGUCAAUGGACGAGAGUCUGAACCAGCCAAGUAGCGUGAAGGAUGACUGCCCUAUGGGUUGUAAACUUCUUUUAUAUGGGAAUAAAAUGUUCCACGUGUGGGAUUUUGUAUGUACCAUAUGAAUAAGGAUCGGCUAACUCCGUGCCAGCAGCCGCGGUAAUACGGAGGAUCCGAGCGUUAUCCGGAUUUAUUGGGUUUAAGGGGAGCGUAGGUGGAUUGUUAAGUCAGUUGUGAAAGUUUGCGGUUCAACCGUAAAAUUGCAGUUGAAACUGGCAGUCUUGAGUACAGUAGAGGUGGGCGGAAUUCGUGGUGUAGCGGUGAAAUGCUUAGAUAUCACGAAGAACUCCGAUUGCGAAGGCAGUUCACUGGACUGCAACUGACACUGAGGCUCGAAAGUGUGGGUAUCAAACAGGAUUAGAUACCCUAGUAGUC